rnacentral:rRNA from 1 species
AACGAACGCUGGCGGCAUGCCUAACACAUGCAAGUCGAACGAGAUCUUCGGAUCUAGUGGCGCACGGGUGCGUAACGCGUGGGAAUCUGCCUUCAGGUACGGAAUAACUCAGGGAAACUUGUGCUAAUACCGUAUGAUGUCUUCGGACCAAAGAUUUAUCGCCUGGAGAUUAGCCCGCGUAGGAUUAGCUAGUUGGUGGGGUAAAGGCCUACCAAGGCGACGAUCCUUAGCUGGUCUGAGAGGAUGAUCAGCCACACUGGGACUGAGACACGGCCCAGACUCCUACGGGAGGCAGCAGUGGGGAAUAUUGGACAAUGGGGGAAACCCUGAUCCAGCAAUGCCGCGUGAGUGAUGAAGGCCUUAGGGUUGUAAAGCUCUUUUACCCGGGAAGAUAAUGACUGUACCGGGAGAAUAAGCCCCGGCUAACUCCGUGCCAGCCGCCGCGGUAAUAC